UAGGGAAUCUUCGGCAAUGGACGAAAGUCUGACCGAGCAACGCCGCGUGAGUGAAGAAGGUUUUCGGAUCGUAAAACUCUGUUGUUAGAGAAGAACAAGGACGUUAGUAACUGAACGUCCCCUGACGGUAUCUAACCAGAAAGCAACGGCUAACUACGUGCCAGCAGCCGCGGUAAUACGUAGGUGGCAAGCGUUGUCCGGAUUUAUUGGGCGUAAAGCGAGCGCAGGCGGUUUCUUAAGUCUGAUGUGAAAGCCCCCGGCUCAACCGGGGAGGGUCCUUGGAAACUGGGAGACUUGAGUGCAGAAGAGGAGAGUGGAAUUCCAUGUGUAGCGGUGAAAUGCGUAGAUAUAUGGAGGAACACCAGUGGCGAAGGCGGCUCUCUGGUCUGUAACUGACGCUGAGGCUCGAAAGCGUGGGGAGCAAACAGG
rnacentral:rRNA from 1 species